rnacentral:rRNA from 1 species
ACGAACGCUGGCGGCGUGCUUAACACAUGCAAGUCGAACGGAAAGGCCCUGCUUUUGUGGGGUGCUCGAGUGGCGAACGGGUGAGUAACACGUGAGUAACCUGCCCUUGGCUUUGGGGUAACUUUAGGAAACUGGGGCUAAUACCGGAAAGGAACUCCUGCUGCAUGGUGGGGGGUGGGAAGUUUCGGCGGUUGGGGAUGGACUCGCGGCUUAUCAGCUUGUUGGUGGGGUAGUGGCUUACCAAGGCUUUGACGGGUAGCCGGCCUGAGAGGGUGACCGGCCACAUUGGGACUGAGAUACGGCCCAGACUCCUACGGGAGGCAGCAGUGGGGAAUAUUGCACAAUGGGCGGAAGCCUGAUGCAGCAACGCCGCGUGCGGGAUGACGGCCUUCGGGUUGUAAACCGCUUUCGCCUGUGACGAAGCGUGAGUGACGGUAAUGGGUAAAGAAGCACCGGCUAACUACGUG